UACGUAGGGUGCGAGCGUUGCCCGGAAUUACUGGGCGUAAAGGGCGCGUAGGCGGCCUGUUAAGUCGAACGUGAAAUCCCCGGGCUCAACCCGGGAACCGCGUCCGAUACUGGCAGGCUUGAAUCCGGGAGAGGGAUGCGGAAUUCCAGGUGUAGCGGUGAAAUGCGUAGAUAUCUGGAGGAACACCGGUGGCGAAGGCGGCAUCCUGGACCGGUAUUGACGCUGAUGCGCGAAAGCCAGGGGAGCAAACGGG
rnacentral:rRNA from 1 species